rnacentral:lncRNA from 10 species
CUCGUAUGUGUAGUCUGAUGCUGUGUGAGAUGAGUCAUCUGGCUGAAGGUUUUCCUGCAUUCCUUACAUUUGUAAGGUUUCUCACCAGUGUGAAUUCUCUCAUGCUAGGUAAGGUGUGCCCUCUGGUUGAAGGUUUUAAUACAUUCGUUACAUUUAUAGGGUCUCUCUCCCGUGUGGAUUCUUUGAUGCUGAAUGAGAGUUGAUUGACGAGUGAAGUAUUUCCCACAAUCUAAACACUGAUUGCAUUUCUUUUGUGUAUGAUUUCUCUUAUGGAGAGUAAGCUGCAUAUUGUGGCAGUAUAGAUUUCCACAUUCCUUACAUACGUUUCUUGUACAUUUUAUCACUGUGUCAAACUGCGAUAAUACUUCAUUAAUAGCCCUCUUUGCAGAUAACUCCUUAAUCUCUGCACCUGGCACAUCUGAAAGGGGAAAAAAAAUCAAUGAACAGAAGCAAAUUAAACUAAUGUAAUAUACCUAUCUUUUAUCUUUUCAAUCCCACUUUAGGCACCUACUCAAGAAACUAAGAUACCAGUUUUUAAGGUUAUAUUGAUAAGAAUGCUUAUUGAAAUAGGCUUUAUAUUG